AGGGGCCGGCGGCCUUCAUUUUGGCCAAGCUGACGUGUUCAGUCAGAAAGCGGGCACUGCCGGCAGUCUGACUCAAAUGACUAAUCUGAUUGGUGGAGUGCUAACCCGGAAAUGACGAGCUGGAUGAGUGUGACCAGAGUCUCUCAAAAUCUGGCAAAAGUCUUUUAAACGGACCUUUGUGGAUCUGAAAUGAAGACAGAUUCAGCAGCCGCACGGCUGAUUCUCCUUCAAAUGUUGUCGGAAACAUUGUUUUAGGAAAAU